UACGUAGGGGGGCAAGCGUUUGUCCGGAAUCAUUGGGCGUAAAGAGCUCGUAGGCGGUUUGUUGCGUCGGCUGUGAAAUCCCGAGGCUCAACCUCGGGUCUGCAGUCGAUACGAGCAAACUAGAGUGUUGCAGGGGAGACUGGAAUUCCUGGUGUAGCGGUGAAAUGCGCAGAUAUCAGGGAGGAACACCGGUGGCGAAGGCGGGGUCUCUGGGCAACAACUGACGCUGGAGGAGCGAAAGC
rnacentral:rRNA from 1 species